rnacentral:tRNA from 1 species
GUGCCCGUAGCUCAAUGGAUUGAGCACUGGAUUCCGGCUCCAGAGAUUGUGGGUUCGAGUCCCACCGGGCACGCCA